GAAGAAAUCUUUGAUUUACAUUUUAUUUUUUAAAUUUUACGUCAUAUAUUUAAUAGAACAUGUAAUUUAUAUAAUUAUAAAUGAAAAUGAAAUUUUCAUCAAAUAGUUUCAUCAAAAUAAGCUUCGCGAGACCAUUAAUCGAAAGUAUCGGUAAAAAUACUCUACCAAAGUUUAGCAUUCCACUUUAAGAAUAUAGACAUGAGUAUUAUAAGUAUCUACGUAGGAAACGUGUACACGGAGUUGAAUUUCGCGAUUAUUUUCAUCUGUAUUCCUGCGAGCGAUGGUUUAAUUUUUAAAAUUCAGAUAAUAACUUCUUACAUAGAAUCGAUGGUAAUAAUAACAAAGUGACGGUGACAGAAUGAAUUGCUUCGAGGAACGAUUUAUUUAAGAAUCUCUUUUCCCUUACGUCUUAGUUAGAACAAAAUGUACGAGGGAAAGUAUUAUUAAUUUUUCAAGCAAUUUUUUAUUCAAUGUUACAUGUAAUAAUAAUAUUUCACUUGCAAUGUUAAUUUAUUUGAGCAUAUCAAAAUUAAAAAAAAAAAUGUACAACAUUCGUAUAUAAUACUUUAAAAUUUGUGGAAAUUUAGCAUAGGAAAAAAGAAAGGAUAUUUAAAAUUAUUGACGAGAGAUACACACCUAAAUUUUGCUCGAAUUGCUUUCUCGAUUCAUCGAAUUAAUUAGUUCAGAAACGAACAAAUCUGAGACAAACGAAGAAGAAUCAGACAUAAAUUUUCGGGGACGUACGAGUUGAGAAUGCCAUUUUUAAUUGGACCACUAUACGCAAUAUGAUAUUUCUCCCUGUCGCAAAAAUGUAUGUAUAACAUAUCUACAAAAUAUACAAAUAAUUACGCGAAGAAAGAUCGAUAGAACUAUAGCUGUUCGAUCAAUUUACGAAUAAUUAUUAGAUUGGAUCUAAUUAACGUCGAGGAACGCGACUUAAAUUAAUCGUAUUACAUGCCUGCUUUCUUUGGUCAAGGGACUAAAAUACGAGAUCCUCAAUGACUGUUUAAUUAAUCGUUGCAAAUUAUUCGACUUUCUCACACUUAUCCACCAAUCGAAAAAAUUUGAUUCACGUAUCGGGUAGUUUUGGACUUUGAAGUCGUUUUAUC